AGUGAGCGCUGGCGGUAGGCCUAACACAUGCAAGUCGAACGGCAGCACAGUAAGAGCUUGCUCUUACGGGUGGCGAGUGGCGGACGGGUGAGGAAUACAUCGGAAUCUACUUUUUCGUGGGGGAUAACGUAGGGAAACUUACGCUAAUACCGCAUACGACCUACGGGUGAAAGCAGGGGAUCUUCGGACCUUGCGCGAUUGAAUGAGCCGAUGUCGGAUUAGCUAGUUGGCGGGGUAAAGGCCCACCAAGGCGACGAUCCGUAGCUGGUCUGAGAGGAUGAUCAGCCACACUGGAACUGAGUCACGGUCCAGACUCCUACGGGAGGCAGCAGUGGGGAAUAUUGGACAAUGGGCGCAAGCCUGAUCCAGCCAUACCGCGUGGGUGAAGAAGGCCUUCGGGUUGUAAAGCCCUUUUGUUGGGAAAGAAAAGCAGCAGGUUAAUACCCCGCUGUUCUGACGGUACCCAAAGAAUAAGCACCGGCUAACUUCGUG
rnacentral:rRNA from 1 species